UACGUAGGGGGCGAGCGUUACCCGGAUUUACUGGGCGUAAAGAGCGUGUAGGCGGCUGGCCAAGCGUGAUGUGAAAUCUUCGGGCUUAACCCGAAAACUGCAUUGCGAACUGGUCUGGCUAGAGUGUGUGAGAGGGUAGUGGAAUUCCCGGUGUAGCGGUGAAAUGCGCAGAUAUCAGGAGGAACACCAAUGGCGAAGGCAGCUCGCUGGGACGUGACUGACGCUGAGACGCGAAAGCGUGGGGAGCAAACAGG
rnacentral:rRNA from 1 species